ACUCCUACGGGAGGCAGCAGUAGGGAAUCUUCCACAAUGGGCGAAAGCCUGAUGGAGCAAUGCCGCGUGAGUGAAGAAGGUUUUCGGAUCGUAAAACUCUGUUGUUGAAGAAGAACAUGCGUGAGAGUAACUGUUCACGUACUGACGGUAUUCAACCAGAAAGCCACGGCUAACUACGUGCCAGCAGCCGCGGUAAUACGUAGGUGGCAAGCGUUGUCCGGAUUUAUUGGGGCGUAAAGAGAAUGUAGGCGGUUUAUUAAGUUUGAAGUGAAAGCCCUCGGCUCAACCGAGGAAGUGCUUCGAAAACUGGUAAACUUGAGUGCAGAAGAGGAAAGUGGAACUCCAUGUGUAGCGGUGGAAUGCGUAGAUAUAUGGAAGAACACCAGUGGCGAAGGCGGCUUUCUGGUCUGUAACUGACGCUGAGAUUCGAAAGCAUGGGUAGCAAACAGGAUUAGAUACCCUGGUAGGAUAGCG
rnacentral:rRNA from 1 species